rnacentral:rRNA from 1 species
AUUGAACGCUGGCGGCAGGCCUAACACAUGCAAGUCGAACGAGUGCCGGACGGGUGAGUAAUGUCUGGGAAACUGCCUGAUGGAGGGGGUUCACUAAUGGAAACGGUAGCUAAUACCGCAUACCCUCGGAUGUGCCCAGAUGGGAUUAGCUAGUAGGUGGGGUAACGGCUCACCUAGGCGACGAUCCCUAGCUGGUCUGAGAGGAGGACCAGCAACACUGGAACUGAGACACGGUCCAGACUCUGACGGGAGGCAGCAGUGGGGAAUAUUGCACAAGGGGCGCAAGCCUGAUGCAGACAUGCCGCGUGUAUGAAGAAGGCCUUCGGGUUGUAAAGUACUUUCAGCGGGGAGGCGUUACUCGCAGAAGAAGCACCGGCUAACUCCGUGCCAGCAGCCGCGGUAAUUC